AGAGGAAAGUAGAAAUGUGAACACAGGACAUUACAGUGCAGUCUACUAUAUACUUGCCUGGUGAUGGUUCAUAAGAUGCACCUUUGAGCUAUUUCAGAAAACUGGUUGAUGUAUGUGAUGCUCCACACAUUUCCCUUCAUGAGAGAAAGUCAGGACUCACCUGGGAGCAACUGACCAAUUCAGGACAGAUUUAGGGGGGAAAAAAGUCUAACGUAAUUGUAAAGAAACUUGUUCAACCGUUUUGCAUGUAAAGACUUAAACGAUGAACUAACGCCUAAAUGCUGUGGGGGUGAGACUAUUCAACAGAGACCCGUCAUAAUACAUGUUGAUCAGCGUGACAUAAGCAAUCGACAACAGCAGAGAAUUCUACACAAUCAUUUGCAUGGAUGUACCAAAGCAUUCACAACUUAAACA